UACGUAGGGGGCGAGCGUUGUCCGGAGUUACUGGGCGUAAAGGGCAUGCAGGCGGUCGGACGCGUUUUUGUGUGACAGCGGGUGGCUCAGCUACCCGAGCAUGCGAAAGACGGUCGGACUUGAGGACUCGAGAGGGACACGGAAUUCCGGGUGGAGUGGUGAAAUGCGUAGAGAUCCGGAGGAACACCAGCGGCGAAGGCGGCGCCUGGACUGGACCUGACGCUCAGGAGCGAAAGCGUGGGGAGCGAGUCCGG
rnacentral:rRNA from 1 species